rnacentral:sRNA from 1 species
UUUUAGCCCUGAUGGGAGCGGCAUCCUUUUUUUGGUGGCUGAGGCUUUCGAAGUCACCAAAAAAAGAUACAGCGGACAGCAGGAAUUACG